UACGUAGGGCGCAAGCGUUAUCCGGAAUUAUUGGGCGUAAAGAGCUCGUAGGCGGUUUGUCGCGUCUGCCGUGAAAGUCCGGGGCUCAACUCCGGAUCUGCGGUGGGUACGGGCAGACUGGAGGUAUGCAGGGGGAGAACGGAAUUCCUGGUGUAGCGGUGAAAUGCGCAGAUAUCAGGAGGAACACCGGUGGCGAAGGCGGGUCUCUGGGCAAUUCCUGACGCUGAGGCGCGAAAGCGUGGGGAGCAAACGGG
rnacentral:rRNA from 1 species